rnacentral:rRNA from 1 species
GUGGCUUGCUACAUGACCUAGCGGCGGACGGGUGAGUAAUACUUAGGAAUCUGCCUAUUAGUGGGGGACAACGUUCCGAAAGGAGCGCUAAUACCGCAUACGCCCUACGGGGGAAAGCAGGGGAUCUUCGGACCUUGCGCUAAUAGAUGAGCCUAAGUCGGAUUAGCUAGUUGGUAGGGUAAAGGCCUACCAAGGCGACGAUCUGUAGCGGGUUUGAGAGGAUGAUCCGCCACACUGGGACUGAGACACGGCCCAGACUCCUACGGGAGGCAGCAGUGGGGAAUAUUGGACAAUGGGCGCAAGCCUGAUCCAGCCAUGCCGCGUGUGUGAAGAAGGCCUUAUGGUUGUAAAGCACUUUAAGCGAGGAGGAGGCUUACCUGGUUAAUACCUAGGAUAAGUGGACGUUACUCGCAGAAUAAGCACCGGCUAACUCUGUGCCAGCAGCCGCGGUAAUACAGAGGGUGCAAGCGUUAAUCGGAAUUACUGGGCGUAAAGCGCGCGUAGGUGGCCAUUUAAGUCAAAUGUGAAAUCCCCGAGCUUAACUUGGGAAUUGCAUUCGAUACUGGAUGGCUAGAGUAUAGGAGAGGAAGGUAGAAUUCCAGGUGUAGCGGUGAAAUGCGUAGAGAUCUGGAGG